UCCCUGGUGGCUCAGACGGUAGAGAAUCUGCCUGGAAUGUUUGAGAACCAGGUUUGAUUCCUGGUUUGGGAA
rnacentral:tRNA from 1 species